rnacentral:tRNA from 1 species
GUCACCAUCGUCUAUCUGGUUAGGACGGCGGCCUCUCACGCCGCUAAGCGGGGUUCAAAUCCCCGUGGUGACGCCA